AAAAAAAAAUGUCAUGUUCAGUAACUUCAUUUUCUUGCCAGGUAGUUUAGUUGUUGGAAGAUAGCAAUCAUAGCAUAAAACAAUUGUCAACAAAACUGACACACGUCCAUGUACAUGGGCACUAACACAUUCUCACACCCUCACAGAUGCAAACAGUUCCUGCUACUUACACACAUUCUUACGCGGAAAUCAUAACCUCCCUGCCUGAAGAAGAAGAUGGUUUUCUUCCCAUUUUUACAUUGAGAAGAGAAUAAACUUAAUCAAGAAAGAAAUGUGAAGAAGCAUUAAAUUGUCAUUUUUGUUAUAUUCCUAUCCCAAGCCUCUUGUUCCCAAUCAUAUUAAAUCGCCAAACAUCUUUUGGCAUCUUAUCCAGUGUGGGUGGUUUGGAGAAAACUCCUCUUCUCGAAGCAGCAGUAAGUUUAUAUUGAGAUUGACUUCAAGCACAUUCUUGAAUACAAUAGAACAUAAUUUAGUAAUGUUUAGCAGGAUGCAAAUCAUCACAACAUGCAAAUGCAGCAUCCCAUAGUUCAUGCAUGUGUGCAAACAAAGGAGUGGGACAAAGGAUCAUAUAACAUACAUAAAAUUGCUGCAACCUGAAUCUCUUCCCCUUUUCUGGGAUGAUUUUCCCAUACCAGAGAAGAUGAAAAAUGAUAUUAUAUCUGCUGGCAAUUUUGGUUGAGGUAAAGAAGAAAGUUCUGGUAGUAAUUUUGGUUGGGGUAACAGAAACAGAAUGGAUGACAAAAAAUUUAUGGUGGUAUAAGUAAUGGAUGUGGAUGUGAAACACAAAUUUAUUGCAACUCUACACAGCAUGUCAAAUAGUAGACAAAUAAAAUAAAUAAACAAAGAAUUGAAUAACAGACUAAAAUAAAUUGACUAAAAUCAAAUAUUCAUCUCUUCAAAAACCCAAAGAGAAAUUAAUGAUUUUGAAAAGCAUAUCCAAAGUGGAUGUUGCUAUAGCACAUCAUUGUUUCUGUAUUCACUUGAUUCUAACAUACACCUAAUUACCUCCGUGAUAUAAGCUUAAAUAACACGGUAAGUUAAACAGAAGCUUUCUUUUUAAAUGAAGGUUUGAUGUAGAUGU
rnacentral:misc_RNA from 1 species